rnacentral:rRNA from 1 species
CGAGUUUGAUCCUGGCUCAGGACGAACGCUGGCGGCGCGCCUUACGCAUGCAAGUCGAACGGACUUCUUCUUCGGAAGGGGUCAGUGGCAGACGGGUGAGUAACACGUAAGUGACCUGCCCACGAGUGGGGAAUAACUCUCCGAAAGGGGAGCUAAUACCGCAUACGUUCUUUUUCGUAGAGAAAAAGAAGAAAGCUUUAUGCGCUCGUGGAGGGGCUUGCGGCCCAUCAGCUAGUUGGUGGGGUAACGGCCUACCAAGGCGACGACGGGUAGCUGGUCUGAGAGGACGGCCAGCCACAAGGGCACUGAGACACGGGCCCUACUCCUACGGGAGGCAGCAGCGAGGAAUCUUGGUCAAUGGGCGCAAGCCUGAACCAGCGACGCCGCGUGGAGGACGACGGCCCUUGGGUCGUAAACUCCUUUUGCCGGGGAAGAUAAUGACGGUACCCGGCGAAUAAGCCACGGCUAACUACGUGCCAGCAGCCGCGGUAAUACGUAGGUGGCGAGCGUUGUCCGGAUUUACUGGGCGUAAAGCGCGCGUAGGUGGUCUUGUUAGUCCUGUCGUGAAAGGUCGUAGCCCAACUGCGACAGUGCGGAGGAUACUGCAAGACUUGAGGGCAGCAGAGGUCGGUGGAAUUCCCGGUGGAGUGGUGAAAUGCGUAGAUAUCGGGAGGAACACCAGAGGCGAAGGCGGCCGACUGGGCUGUACCUGACGCUGAGGCGCGAAAGCGUGGGGAGCGAACCGGAUUAGAUACCCGGGUAGUCCACGCCCUAAACGGUGGCAACUAGGUGUGGGGGGUAUCGACCCCCUCCGUGCCGCAGCUAACGCGUUAAGUUGCCCGCCUGGGGACUACGGCCGCAAGGUUAAAACUCAAAGGAAUUGACGGGGGCCCGCACAAGCAGCGGAGCGUGUGGUUUAAUUCGAUGCAACGCGCAGAACCUUACCGGGGUUUGACAUGCUCAGGAAACACCUAGAGAUAGGUGCCCUCUUCGGAGUCUGAGCACAGGUGCUGCAUGGCUGUCGUCAGCUCGUGCCGUGAGGUGUUGGGUUAAGUCCCGCAACGAGCGCAACCCUCGUCGCUAGUUGCAUCUUUCUAGCGAGACCGCUGCGCAAAACGCAGAGGAAGGUGGGGAUGACGUCAAGUCAUCAUGGCCUUUAUGCCCCGGGCUACACACACGCUACAAUGGGUGGUACAGACGGUUGCGAAGCCGCGAGGUGAAGCUAAUCCGACAAAACCAUCCUCAGUUCAGAUUGCAGGCUGCAACUCGCCUGCAUGAAGACGGAGUUGCUAGUAACCGCAGGUCAGCACACUGCGGUGAAUACGUUCCCGGGCCUUGUACACACCGCCCGUCACGUCAUGAAAGCCGGCAACACCUGAAGUCGCUGGGCUAACCCGCAAGGGAGGCAGGUGCCGAGGGUGGGGCGGGUGACUGGGACGAAGUCGAAACAAGGUA